rnacentral:lncRNA from 1 species
CAACCUUCAAAAAGAAUCUUUAAUAUUCAUGAAAGGAGUCAUGGAUGAAUGCACUCACGUAGCAAAUUUCUCAGUUCCAGUUGACCCGAGCCUCAUUAUAGUGGUGCAAGCCAAAGAGGAUGCCUAUAUUCCGCGAACAGGAGUUCGGAGCUUACAAGAAAUUUGGCCUGGCUGUGAAAUCCGGUAUCUAGAAGGGGGUCAUAUCAGUGCUUAUCUCUUUAAACAGGGACUCUUCAGGUAAGAUGAUUUCUCUAGCCAGGGUUUUAUUUGUUGCUUGAUAGGGGGUAUUUUUUGCCUUAAGAAAUAUAUGGAGGCCAACAAGGAAGUAAGUGGACUAGAACAUAAAACAAAAGUACAUAAUACUUUAUUUCUUACAUUGAGGUAUUUUUUUCCUGUAUUGUCCUCUAGAGAAUGAAGGCUGUAGGAUAUCAGAUGCACAUUUUAUCCCAAAGUUUUAACCAGAGAUAAUUUUAGAAAUUUAAUAGUUAUCUGUCCUUGCCCAUAUUUGUCAAUGACCAAUUCUUUACAUUUCAUUUUAGACAAGCCAUCUACGAUGCCUUUGAACGUUUCCUUCAUAAAUAUGCUAACUAAUUGGAUCGAUGUAUGGUAUAACAU